rnacentral:rRNA from 1 species
CCUACGGGAGGCAGCAGUAGGGAAUCUUCCACAAUGGGCGAAAGCCUGAUGGAGCAACGCCGCGUGGGUGAAGAAGGUCUUCGGAUCGUAAAACCCUGUUGUUAGAGAAGAAAGUGCGUGAGAGUAACUGUUCACGUUUCGACGGUAUCUAACCAGAAAGCCACGGCUAACUACGUGCCAGCAGCCGCGGUAAUAAGUAGGUGGCAAGCGUUAUCCGGAUUUAUUUGGUGUAAAGGGAAAGCAGGACGUAUUUUAAGGCUGAUGUGAAAUCCUUCGGCUUAAACGGAGUAGUGCAUUGGAUACUGGGAGACUUGAGUGCAGUAGAGGAAAGUGGAACUCCAUGUGUAGCGGUGAAAUGCGUAGAUAUAUGGAAGAACACCAGUGGCGAAGGCAGCUUUCUGGUCUGUAACUGACGCUGAGGUUCGAAAGCGUGGGUAGCAAACAGGAUUAGAUACCCUUGUAGUC